UUUUUUUUUUUUUUUUUUUUUUGUUAAGUGUAUUCUUGGGCCAAUUUUCACGCAAUGAAACUAAUUUUGGAGUGCUCCCCUUGAAGUCAAAUCCUGAUUGACAAGAAAGAGAAGUUUCCAUUAUUACCAGGUGAACUAAUUCUGUUGAGUUCCUCUAAUGGUGUUCUUUGUUUGUUACAUGAUAUCUGCAGGGUCUCCUACAUAACAGCAAGCACAUUUGGGGCACAUAAUUCAUAACCUGUGAUCUUGUAUAUCAAAUAGGUGCAUAAAUCCAUGUUACAUGUUGGUGUUUGAGAGUAGACAAACACCAAGGUCAUAUUAAAAUCUUCCACCUAUGGGUAAUAAUAUCAGUUAUCGACUUGAGUGAACUCUAGAGCAUUUGCAUCUGGAUCUCGUGUAAAGAUUGCAGGCCUCCCAGACCGGGGAAUUCCAGCUUUAUCAAGGAUUGCCUUCAACUUGGACACAUCGCGAAUAGCAAUGCAAGUAUGUCUGUCUCGGCCACCAUGUUGAGGUCGUCCAGUUAAGGGGUCAGGAUUUGGAAGCUCCAUUAAGUGGAUCAUUUCAGAACCCACCCACAACCAAGCACCCCUAUAGGGAAGCUUAUCAUGUGGCCUUGCCUCAUUUAUUUCAAGACCUAAAAUGCCUUGAUAAAAUUCAAGUGACCGUUCAAGAUUUUCACACAGCACUCCAACAUGGUGAACACUAACAACCCCAUAAUCUAUCUUCUCAUUGACAUGCCUUGCUUCUUUCUCAACUACAUCAGCUUCAACAGACAGUUUGGCUUUUGUCUUGAAAGAAAGCUCAUGAAACUUAUUACUACCAACAAUAGAGUGGUAAAAAGGGGAUAGUGAGUUUGUAGAUAUAGGUCCGAUUCUAAGAGGAUUCACCUUGUGUUUAACAGAUAUGGCGGCAGAUGGACCGACAAGAGAAGCCAUGGAAGAGCACUUGAGCAGUGAAAGAGAGUGAUUACGGUUUCGUUAACCUACUGUUUAUUUUGUGAACCCAAAUGCCACCAACCGUUUCCAACCACCGCUUG
rnacentral:misc_RNA from 1 species